rnacentral:rRNA from 1 species
UACGAAGGGGACUAGCGUUGUUCGGAAUCACUGGGCGUAAAGCGCACGUAGGCGGAUAUGUCAGUCAGGGGUGAAAUCCCGGGGCUUAACCUCGGAACUGCCUUUGAUACAGCAUAUCUUGAGUCCGAUAGAGGUGGGUGGAAUUCCUAGUGUAGAGGUGAAAUUCGUAGAUAUUAGGAAGAACACCGGUGGCGAAGGCGGCCCACUGGAUCGGUACUGACGCUGAGGCGCGAAAGCGUGGGGAGCAAACAGG